rnacentral:lncRNA from 12 species
GGGGGGGGGGGGGGGGGGGGGGGGGGGGGGGGGGGUUUUUUUUUUUUUUUUUAGAUGAAGGGCAGAUGAAGAGCCUCUGUUCCAGGGAACUCAGAGCAGGGACACUGUCUUAAUUAUCUUGAAAAAAGAAGAAACAGAGAGAAGUACAAAGAGAGUUUGAAGAGCCCUGUGGUCCCAAAGUGCUGCCUGCCCCUUCUUUUAGCAGCUUUCAAGGGUGUUUUCUUGAAUUGAUUGUAACCUGCUGCAGCUGCUGGGUAAGUUAAUGAAUUUAGUGGGGAAGGGGGAGGCACAAUUUUUAUGUAUUCAUCUUCAGAUAAGAAA